CGAUUGGAUUAAGUCAGUUUGCUUAAAAAUACUGAAAUGUGUCUUUCAUGAUUAUAGUCAUGUUUAUUGAACGCCAUCAAUUUCGUGAUGUGGGAACAAAGGAAGUAUCUGUGAUAAUUUGGCAUGUACUUCGUUCAAACUUGGCCUGAUUUUGGGUACUGUGAUAAUUUAUUGAUCAAUGAUUGAUUAUCCUUAAUUUGCAGGUCAUAAACACAGGAAAUCAUGACUAUCAUAUGCAUCUAUGCUUGUAUUGCAUCAGUUAGCAUUAGCACAUGUCAUUUUAAUGCAGUGAUAAUUAUAUGAUUUAUGAUGCAUGAAUUGAUUGAUGAAUAAACUGCCCUACACAUAGUUUUGGGUUUAUAUAUGUGCCAUAUCACAUGAAAUAUUUGUAUUUAUUCAUUACUAAAAAUAAUAUUCUCAUAUGGAGACUGAAUAAAUUUUAAUCUUUCCCUCAGAACUGUACGAGUGUUGUUUAUACAGAAUUUUCAAAUUGAUAAGAAACCAUAUAAAAUAUCUAAUGUUGCCAAUGGGAGAAGAAAUUGACUGUUCUCUAAAAUUCUGUUACUUUCCUAUGGAUGGAUAAGGUAAAACUUGUACUUCCAUGCUUAAAAUUUAUUCGUGGUACUAAAGUGGUGAUCUCAUCAAAUCAUACUGAUAGAUAUGUCAUAAUUUUGAUGAAUUUGGUUUAUUGAACCAAAAAAAUUUCAAAAUCAGUGGAUAAAAUGACAUUAUUUUAGAUAUCUAAUUCUCUAAUUAUGCCAUAGUCGACAAUAAAAAUUGCAUCCCAUGCGAUAUAAGUGGAUAUUAGGGAUGACAUUCCGUGUUGACACGUAAGAUUGUAGAAUAAUCUCCCAGCACGCCAUGUGUCAAGUUUGAAAAUCUCCACAAUAAUAGUAUAACGAUAAAUGGAUAUUAGGGGUGACAUUCCAUUUUGACAUGUAAGAUUGUAGAAUAAUCUCUCAGCACGCCAUGUGAUAAGUUUUGAAGUUUUCAUAAUGUUUAUUUAUUUAUGUUUUUUUUUUGUUCUCAUAUUGUAUUAUUUCUUCUUUUCUUUCUUCAAGGUUAGAGCGGACGUGCCAUCCGAAAGGCCAAUGCCAAUAAUGAGGAGGAUGUGGACGGUUGGAUCUUUUUAUUUGUAAAUAAUUUUUAUAUUUUGGUUUAAACUGCAUGGAUGAAGAAUUAUAGUGGAGCUGAGCUAGAAUGUAUUGACAGAAAUACAGUUUCAUUUGCCUUGAACUGACAAAUAAGCAUGGAUGAUCUUGCUAAAUCUUUAGAUGAGGAGAGUAUAAGACUUACUGUUGAUGGCAUUUUGCCUGCCAUCAAAGAAACUGUCGUUGCAUUUGGUAUAUCCAUAGAUGAUCUUGAACAAUGCAGCUCAGCAGAUGCCUCUCAUAGUUUUGUUAAGUUCUCAAAAUACGCACGCGGAUUCAGAUGUUUCAGUUUUGUUUAACGUCAUAACUUAUUUAUCCUAGAAACACAUUCUCGUUAUAAGUAUAUAGUUUGAGCAGUUGGUACACAAAAACUUGUGUGUACAUUUUCUAUGACAUGUUUGAGGGUCUAAAUAUAACACUAAUCCCAUGAGAUUCUGAUUUAUUUGGUUUUUGAAUUAGAGAUGUAUGAGAUUUGGGCUAAGACCUAAUGUUAGAACUCAGAAUGCUAGGCCUUCAAUGAUGUAUUUUUCUAUUGACAUAUGUUGGCUUGCAAGACUGACAAGGAGGUGCAUCAAUUGGUCAUCCAAUAGAGCUAAAAAUAUAAUCUACAAUUGUACCCUCA